UAAUACUCCAUAGAUUAGAGACACUGGAAUGUUCUUUAGUCGAAAGUUCUGGCGCCUUAGGAUGGAUCUGCGGUCGAUUAGGUUGUUGUUGGGGUAACGGCCCAACAAGCCUGUAAUCGAUACGGGUUGUGGGAGCAAGAGCCCGGAGAUGGAAUCUGAGACACGAUUCCAGGCCCUACGGGGCGCAGCAGGCGCGAAAACUUUACAAUGCGGGAAACUGUGAUAAGGGAACUCCGAGUGCCCGUAUACGCGGGCUGUCCAGGUGUUUAAAAAUCAUCUGAAGAAAGGGCCGGGCAAGACCGGUGCCAGCCGCCGCGGUAAUACCGGCGGCUCGAGUGGUGGCCACUAUUAUUGGGCUUAAAGCGUCCGUAGCUGGACCGAUAAGUCUCUUGGGAAAUCCGCCGGCUCAACCGGCGGGCGUCUAAGGGAUACUGUUAGUCUAGGGACCGGGAGAGGUGAGAGGUACUCCGGGGGUAGGAGUGAAAUCCUGUAAUCCCCGGGGGACCACCGAUGGCGAAGGCAACUCACCAGAACGGCUCCGACAGUGAGGGACGAAAGCUGGGGGAGCGAACCGGAUUAGAUACCCGGGUAGUCCCAGCCGUAAACUAUGCGCGUUAGGUGU
rnacentral:rRNA from 1 species